UAUAUUAUUCAUUGGUCUCCGUGCGAACUCUCGAAUACAAUCUAUGCCCGCGCUACGCCUACCCUAUUCCUUCGAAUGAAAGGUGCGAAUUCAACAAAGACAGAAAAACGGUCAAGUGUCGUCUCUCGUUUCCUCGAAUCCUUCCAGCAAAUAUUAAGUUUUUUUCAAAUAGGUUUGUUGAUCAUUCGUCCCUCGAAUUUUGGAAUUCUCGGUGCACGGUGAAAAUAGGACAUUCAGUCAGUAAGCGAGUGUACUGGAGAUCAGCGACUUGGUAUUGUUAUAAAGUUUUGUCGAUUUGAGGAUUAUUGCAGAUAUAAAUCAUCAUAUAGGAAUUAGUUUGAUGCUCCAAUUGAUACCAAUCCUGAAAUCUUCUGCUUCUAUGGAUUUAUGCACUGAACUCUACUGAAGGAAAUUUUGUGUCUUAUCAUUUUCUUUUGGAAACCUACUAUUGAGUAAAUGAACCCUCUAAUAUUGAGGGUGCCAGUUUUGGAUUUUUCAUUUCCUUGAAUGCACCACAGAUCACUUUCGAUUUAUUGCUCGACGAUAGAUUGUCUGGGUGAAUUAGGAAAAGUCCUCAAGUCCCGCCAAGCUAAGAUCCGAAGUAUUGUCGUAGGAUCGGUAUUCGUGAGGACUAUUUGGUCUAUUUUUUUUAUAUACAAUAUUGCAAGAAGGAUACGUCCGGUAAGCGAGUAUUUCUUCAUUGUUUAUCUAUAAUUUCUACCGCUGGGAUUGCUGCUACGAUACUGCAAAAACCAAGAGAUACCAGUGCAGACUCUUCCUUAAUUAUAAACAUUUUAUUAACACCUGAAUAUAUGAGACCAUAUUUUCUUAUGUCAUAAUAAUAAUAGUUUUAUUUUGUGAGCCAAUUAUAGCUAUAUUUGGAGAUUCAUAUAUGAACGAUAUGUUGUCAGUUAUCAACCAUAGUUAUCAACUUGUAUUGGUUAAGGGAUAUCUAGUAAAUCAAUUCUUUUUAUUGGA
rnacentral:lncRNA from 1 species